rnacentral:rRNA from 1 species
AACGAACGCUGGCGGCAGGCUUAACACAUGCAAGUCGAGCGCGUAGCAAUACGAGCGGCAGACGGGUGAGUAACGCGUGGGAAUCUACCUAGCUCUACGGAAUAGCUCCGGGAAACUGGAAAUAAUACCGUAUACGCCCUUCGGGGGAAAGAUUUAUCGGAGUUGGAUGAGCCCGCGUUGGAUUAGCUAGUUGGUGGGGUAAUGGCCUACCAAGGCGACGAUCCAUAGCUGGUCUGAGAGGAUGAUCAGCCACACUGGGACUGAGACACGGCCCAGACUCCUACGGGAGGCAGCAGUGGGGAAUAUUGGACAAUGGGCGCAAGCCUGAUCCAGCCAUGCCGCGUGAGUGAUGAAGGCCCUAGGGUUGUAAAGCUCUUUCAACGGUGAAGAUAAUGACGGUAACCGUAGAAGAAGCCCCGGCUAACUUCGUGCCAGCAGCCGCAGUAAGAC